GGAGGGUUGGUCCGAGUGGUUUAAGGCGCGAAACUCGAAAUUUCGUCCCGCUUGCGGGAACACAGGUUCGAAUCCUGUACCCUCCG
rnacentral:tRNA from 1 species